rnacentral:rRNA from 1 species
UACGGGGGGGGCAAGCGUUGUUCGGAAUUAUUGGGCGUAAAGGGCGCGUAGGCGGCUAGAUGUGUCAAAGGUGAAAUCCCUCGGCUCAACUGAGGAAGUGCACCCGAAACUGAGUAGCUAGAGUACGAAAGAGGGUCGCGGAAUUCCCGGUGUAGAGGUGAAAUUCGUAGAUAUCGGGAGGAACACCGGUGGCGAAGGCGGCGACCUGGGUCGAGACUGACGCUGAGGUGCGAAAGCGUGGGGAGCAAACAGG